rnacentral:misc_RNA from 1 species
GCACAUAUUCAAAAACCAAUGAGGAAUUUAAAAAAAAAAUUGAAAGUUAAAAAAAUUAAAAAUCAUUAGCAAUUAACCCAAAAGAAGUCUUGAAAUCUUGAUUUAGAGCAAUAUCUUCCUCUUCUUUGACUAUCUAAUUCAUCAUCACACUCAUAUAUAAAUCCAACAAGCAUUAACUAAUUUUCUAAAUACCUCUGCAAAAGUCCAACU